rnacentral:lncRNA from 1 species
AGAGCGGCUUCCUCAGUGGUCUUUCCAGCUGGAAGCAGAGCGUCCAGAAAGCACCGCAUUCUCAGCGCUGUUUCAUUGCCUCAAGAGCUACAGAUGGCUUCCCCAAGCACCUGAAGUCGAUGCUGCUUGCCUGGAUGGAAUAAGCUGCAAGCUGCAGAAACUCUUGUCUUUUCACAGUGGAACUCAGACUCCAGUUUCUUUCUGCCUUGAGAGUGAAAGAAAGGAGAAGACACAGAGUAGGAAAGAGCCAGAAGGUGGAGAAAUUAAUGUUUAAUGCUUGAUACUCCCGGGGCCUGGCCAGCUGCUCAAAAAAAGGAAGGAGGUGAUGAAGAGAGAAAGAAAGGAUGGAAGGAAGGAGGAAGUGGACAAUGAGCCCAGAGCCCUCACCUGAGUUCCAAACAUUUAAGUCAAACUGCCAACUUCAUUCUCCAUUUGGACGAUUUCUCAACAUGUACAAAACCAAGUCCUGAUUUUUCCGUGACCCCAAAUCUGUUCUAUCUGAAGCCUCCCUAUCUCAGUUACUGACAGAGUCUGUCUGUCUUUGUCACUCGCACUUCACGCUGGAGUGCAGUGGUGUGAUCAUAGCUCACUGCAACAUCAAACUCCUAGAUUCAAGCGACCUGAUCCUUCCACCUCAGCCUCCGGAGUAGCUGAGACUACAAAUCCUGGCUGAUGGAUGUAAUGAAGGCAUGAACUAUACUAGUUGAACAAGGAAAUGAACUUGAACCAAAUUGUGAAGUUCUCUGCAGUGAAAUAUUAAAGAUUAGCAAGCUAAACAGAGAAAAAGAUAACACUCAAGAAACUGCCUAUAUGUAAGAGAUUCCUUUGAGAACUUUCAAAUGGCUCCUUUCUACAAAAGACCUGAGAAUACUUAACCCCCCACCACUAGCACACUCAAAGCUCAAGGCAAAUGCAUUUUCAAGAUUGACAGGGUCUUGGACUCUGAAAGUCUUUGGACCCAAGAAAAAUCGUGUUAUCUAAGAGAGCAGUUAUUCUGACACAGACUGAUAUCAGGUGCCUGUGGCAUGAAACACGGAAGAGAAUAAUAGCAUCUACCUUAUAAGAAGACAUACUAUAUUCUGGACCACAUAUCUGAUAAUUCUUACAGCCCUUUAAAGAUAAUCAUAACUAGAAUAUUAUCUUAUUUUGUAGCUCAUAGAUGUCAAAAGACUAGCUCAUAAUUUUAUUGCGGAUACAUAGCAGAACCAAGAUUUGAACUCAGACCUGUCUCAUUCCACAACUCAUUUUCCUUGAAGUCAAUAGAUGCCACUGAUCUCUAAAUACCUACAAAAGGGGCUCGGAGGUGGAGAGGGGAUGUCUGAGGAGCCUUAGGACUACCACCCAAUGUUCUGUCUUUAGAUAGAGAUGCUAUCACCAAUCUCUCUUUCACACAUACUCCUCCUCUUCUCAUUUCUGUUCGUGUACUUGGUUCUCAGUGUAAGAUUUUGUUAGAAGAAAGAGGCAUGUUGGUAAAAUAAGAAAUAAUAUAUCAAAAAUAAAAUAAAAUUGUUUGAAAGUC